AAGGGAGACCUAAUUCGGGUAGGAGACGAAAAAAAAGUAGUCGCUACCAAGAAUCAAUCCCAAAAGGUCGGAGCGAGGCGAAAUUGGCUUUCAAACUAGGUUCUGGGUUCACACAAGACCUGAAUCAGGAACAAGGGCUAUUAGCUCAGGUGGUUAGAGCGCACCCCUGAUAAGGGUGAGGUCCCUGGUUCGAGUCCAGGAUGGCCCACCUGCACAGGUGGCAAAAACAAGAGAAGCGAGGAAUCAGCACCUUAUCUUAUCUACAUAUUAAGAGAGAAUGCUGGCUCUGAGUACAGAGUCCAGAGGAACCUUGAAAACUGCAUAGAGCUAGGUGAAAAAGCCAAAAAAGAAGACCGCAA
rnacentral:tRNA from 1 species